rnacentral:rRNA from 1 species
CGCGGCCUAUCAGCUUGUUGGUGAGGUAACGGCUCACCAAGGCAUCGACGGGUAGCUGGUCUGAGAGGAUGAUCAGCCACACUGGGACUGAGACACGGCCCAGACUCCUACGGGAGGCAGCAGUAGGGAAUAUUGCACAAUGGGCGAAAGCCUGAUGCAGCAACGCCGCGUGCGGGAAGAAGGCCCUAGGGUUGUAAACCGCUUUCAGCAGGGAAGAAAAUGACGGUACCUGCAGAAGAAGGUGCGGCCAACUACGUGCCAGCAGCCGCGGUGACACGUAGGCACCAAGCGUUGUCCGGAUUUAUUGGGCGUAAAGAGCUCGUAGGCGGUUCAGUAAGUCGGGUGUGAAAACUCUGGGCUCAACCCAGAGACGCCACUCGAUACUGCUGUGACUCGAGUGCGGUAGGGGAGCGGGGAAUUCCUAGUGUAGCGGUGAAAUGCGCAGAUAUUAGGAGGAACACCAGUGGCGAAGGCGCCGCUCUGGGCCGUAACUGACGCUGAGGAGCGAAAGCGUGGGUAGCAAACAGGAUUAGAUACCCUGGUAGUCCACGCCGUAAACGUUGGGCACUAGGUGUGGGUCUCAACCAACGAGAUCCGCGCCGUCGCUAACGCAUUAAGUGCCCCGCCUGGGGAGUACGG